rnacentral:pre_miRNA from 1 species
GUACAAAUCACUAGGGAAAAUUUUGUUAAAACUCAGGUUCUGGAAUAGGGCCUAAUAUUCUGUGAUUCUAACAAGCUCCCUGGUGAAGCUAAU